UACGUAGGGUGCAAGCGUUAAUCGGAAUUACUGGGCGUAAAGCGCGCGUAGGUGGUUUGUUAAGUUGGAUGUGAAAUCCCCGGGCUCAACCUGGGAACUGCAUUCAAAACUGACAAGCUAGAGUAUGGUAGAGGGUGGUGGAAUUUCCUGUGUAGCGGUGAAAUGCGUAGAUAUAGGGAGGAACACCAGUGGCGAAGGCGACUACCUGGCCUGUUCUUGACGCUGAGGCGCGAAAGCUAGGGGAGCAAACGGG
rnacentral:rRNA from 1 species